rnacentral:rRNA from 1 species
AGCGAACGCUGGCGGCAGGCCUAAUACAUGCAAGUCGAACGGCUCUUCGGAGCAGUGGCGGACGGGUGAGUAACGCGUGGGAACGUGCCCUUUGGUUCGGAACAACACAGGGAAACUUGUGCUAAUACCGAAUGUGCCCUUCGGGGGAAAGAUUUAUCGCCAUUGGAGCGGCCCGCGUUGGAUUAGGUAGUUGGUGGGGUAAAGGCCUACCAAGCCUACGAUCCAUAGCUGGUCUGAGAGGAUGAUCAGCCACACUGGGACUGAGACACGGCCCAGACUCCUACGGGAGGCAGCAGUAGGGAAUCUUGCGCAAUGGGCGAAAGCCUGACGCAGCCAUGCCGCGUGAAUGAUGAAGGUCUUAGGAUUGUAAAAUUCUUUCACCGGGGAAGAUAAUGACGGUACCCGGAGAAGAAGCCCCGGCUAACUUCGUGCCAGCAGCCGCCGUAACAC